AACGAACGCUGGCGGCGCGCCUAAUACAUGCAAGUCGAGCGAGAAGACGUAGCAAUACGUUUGUAAAGCGGCGAACGGGUGAGGAAUACAUGGGUAACCUACCCUCGAGUGGGGAAUAACUAGCCGAAAGGUUAGCUAAUACCGCGUACGCUCCUUGGACUUCGGUUCAGGGAGGAAAGCGAUACCGUGGGUAUCGCGCUCUUGGAUGGGCUCAUGUCCUAUCAGCUUGUUGGUGAGGUAACGGCUCACCAAGGCUUCGACGGGUAGCUGGUCUGAGAGGACGAUCAGCCACACUGGCACUGCGACACGGGCCAGACUCCUACGGGAGGCAGCAGUAAGGAAUAUUGCGCAAUGGGCGAAAGCCUGACGCAGCGACGCCGCGUGGGGGAGUGAAGGUCUUCGGAUUGUAAACCCCUUUCGGGAGGGAAGAUGGAACGAGCAAUCGUUCGGACGGUACCUCCAGAAGCAGCCACGGCUAACUUCGUGCCAGCAGCCG
rnacentral:rRNA from 1 species